GUACUUGGCAUGUGUUUUGGACCUCAUAGGCCAUCUCCAUUGAAGCUCGAAAAUUUGUACUGUGUGCUCAAGUUCGAAAUAACAGAGAAAAUGAACAAGCAACAUCCACCUGGAAGUGGACGAAAUAAAAGAGAAAAUGAACAAAAAAAUCCCAGGGUGAAGGCAGAUAAAUCAGAAUUUGGUUGAAUAUAAUGGCUUAGAGGUUACAGCAGGAGUCUCAGGUUUUUGGGGGUAAAUCAACAUUGAUGAUGUUAGAUGCAUGGAGAAGAGGCCAAGCUCUCUCUGUUUUUUCCUCUGCUCUUAAUUUAGAGCCUAAGUUCUCUCUCUCCCACUACAAAAUCCCUUUGGAGAAAAAAAAGAAAAAAGAAAAACUCCCAAAACAAAAAACCUCGGAUUCUAAUCCCUUGAAGGAACCUGUCUCUCAAAGUGCUAAUAUUGAAGAAAUUUGAGUUUGAUUAAACCAGAAAGUAUCCAAUCGACCAAAUGCUCAAGCAUCAGACCUUUUAGCGAUUAAAAUGUCAUAUGCUUCCACAAGAAGUGUUUGCACUUCUAAAAGGAAGAGGAAUGAAGGUCAAUCUUCAAGAGCAAGGGGGUCCGCUCAAAGGCAAGAUGCCAUUUCAGUUGGUCAUCAAUGGGUUGCUGCUGUUGGUUCACUAUCGUCUUCAGUGGAUCGGAUGUUGGAUCAUUUAUUCCUCUUCCAGACACGAUGCAUGGAAGCAGUUGCUGAUGUUUAUAAGGAUGAUGGCAUGGAUCACAUCAAGGCUGUGGACUUGUUUGUAGAUCCUAUGAACGCUUGAAUUUUUUUAUCCAUCGAUCCGUAGUAUUGUAAAAUGUGGUUCCAAACGCAUGUCCCCCAUGAUUAGUUUCAUAGGUUGCUUGUUUUUUGAACUCUGGCUCUUGAAUCCCUGUUAUAUUAGGGAGGGAACUUUAAAUGUCUUUCAUAACUUGUAUGUAGAAGAUGGUUGGUUUGCAAGUCUUAUGUAGUUGGUUUAUAGUUUCCUCUUGACUUUGUGGUUGAUUGUAUGGAUGACUGUAUUUUUUCCUUCUAUUUGUGAAAUUGUUGAUAUUUAUGUGGAUGGUGGUUAAUGUAGGUGUUUAUGUGAUUGAUUUUUAAUUUCCUUCUAUUUGUGAAUUUUUAUGUGGAUGAUGGUUGAUUGGAUAUUAUGUGCUCGAUUUAUAAUUCCCUAUUGUCGUUUUGGAGUAUUUGUUGAAUGGUUCCGUUAAGGAUUUGACCGUCAAUAUGGAUCCAUCUGAUCUAUAUGACAUCUAUAUCAGAUAUUAUGUUGCAUAUGUAGCCACCUUGUGUUGUGUAUGAUAUUAUUACCAAUUCUUGAUACCAAGGAAUCUAGUUCACACUUGUUAUUUCACUGAUGCUGUAUUUAUUUUAUAUUUACUUGAGUCCCAUCAGUACAAUUGUUUCAAUUUGUUGCGGAUGGAUAUGAAUGCCUUUCUAGGCUUGUGUAGAAUUUCAAAAUAAGGCAAUCCACUUCAUAAUUCACAGUACAUGAUGGUAGAGGAACAAGUUGCCAUAUUCCUGUACACAGUUGCACAUAAUGAGUGUACUAGGGUGAUGCAAAUUCAAUUUCAACAGACUAUUAGUUAUUACGUCAACAAAGUCCUAAAUACAAUAUUGGGACUGGCCCCAUAGUUUAUCAUCCUUGCCCCAAGUGAAACACAUGACGCAAUCAGAAAGAAGAAGAAAUUCUUCCCAAUUUUCAAGGUGAACAUUGUGUAGAUCAUCUUAUAUUUAAAAAAUGAUGAUGGUAUUCUUUAUCAUUGCUUACAAGGGCAUGUCUUCUUAGGAUUAUGUUGGAGAGCUGGAUGGGACCCACAUUCCUGCUUGGGUUCCCACUUCCCAGCAAAAAUGAUAUCGUAAUCGGAAGAGGGAGCUAUCUCAUAAUAUUUUGGCUACAGUUAACUUGACAUGUAUUUCACAUAUGUGCUAGUGGGUUAGAAAGGUUUUGCGGCGGACUCUAGAAUUCUAUGUUAUGCAAUUGAGAGGGAUAUGCAUCUAUUACCAGUGCCUCAAGAAAGUAUUACAUUGUGGAUGCAAGUUACCCCACUACAUGUGGAUUCAUUUCCCCAGAUCGGUAGCCAAAGUAUCACCUUAGUGAGACCUAG